GGGGAAUUUUGGACAAUGGGCGAAAGCCUGAUCCAGCCAUUCCGCGUGCAGGAUGAAGGCCUUCGGGUUGUAAACUGCUUUUGGACGGAACGAAAAGCCACUUUCUAAUACAAGGUGGUCAUGACGGUACCGUCAGAAUAAGCACCGGCUAACUACGUGCCAGCAGCCGCGGUAAUACGUAGGGUGCAAGCGUUAAUCGGAAUUACUGGGCGUAAAGCGUGCGCAGGCGGUUAUGUAAGACAGAUGUGAAAUCCCCGGGCUCAACCUGGGAACUGCAUUUGUGACUGCAUAGCUAGAGUACGGUAGAGGGGGAUGGAAUUCCGCGUGUAGCAGUGAAAUGCGUAGAUAUGCGGAGGAACACCGAUGGCGAAGGCAAUCCCCUGGACCUGUACUGACGCUCAUGCACGAAAGCGUGGGGAGCAAAC
rnacentral:rRNA from 1 species